UUUCCGUGAGGAUGGUGACGACUCCGAACUAUAGCAGCAUACUCUACCUACCCCUGAUCAGUUUAUGGAAGAAAAGGAAACCAAACAAAGGGUUUUGCCGUUGUUACUGCUCACCUGGUUUGAUUCAGUGGCGUCGCGGUUGGUCUCUGCUACAGUCCAUUACUCACAGUGCCAGCACAUGUUUCCUUAAAAAGCUUCAUCACCAUCCUCCUGCAAUGCGACCUUCACCGGCUCCCCGUUGCCUGCCCAGGAGGAUAAAGUCCAAGUUCUCCUGUGGAAAGAAGACCCUUCACACGCUAGUCCCAGCCUGUCUUCAGCCCAGCCCCCUGUGUUUCCUUUCCUGCCUUAUCCUAAGACAUCCUUACCUUCCAAUCACACUCACUUUCCGAGCAUUUUUGAAGGUAUUGAGGGAGUUGAUGAGUCUACACUUGAAUAAAAUACAGACUUUACACUCCAGACUGCACAGUUGACAGGUGCUGGGGUGUUUAACCUACACAGCACCCGUCUACACAUAGGCAUAAAAUUAUCUUCUAGGCCUGAGAAAAGGCUGCACUUGCACCUUGAUGACUUGCCUGGCCUUAGCACUCAUAAAGAAGAGGAAUGAGUUGAUGAGACAUGAGAUUUGGGAAAGACUCCCCAGUUGAGGAUUGGAUGUUUCAGGAAGAGGCUGAGAACCAGACUUCAUAAGCACCUGGAGAACUGGCAAAGGUGGCGGGGGGAGGGGGGCGCCUGCCCAGAGGAGGCCCCAGUGCCUGAAGUGGGCAUGAAGAGCCCAGCAGCAUUAGAGGAACAAGGACUGACAUGUUUCCCACAGUGGAAAGAAAGUUUUUGAAACAGAAAAAUAGCACGGGCAUUUGUGGGGUACAUAAGAAAGAGACAAAAUGGAACCAUUUGGACCAGAAGGCAUGACGGGAGAAGUGCGGGAGCGCAGGAGAGGUGAGAAGCAGAGGUUGACCUAAACACUGCAGAGAAUGUUGGAUGGAAAGUUGGGACUUAAAAUCUUGAUUUGGCAAAAUCACAGACUCAGCUGGAGAGGUCUAGAUUUAUUACAAGAAGUCCAUGAUGGAGACAGCUCAGGAAUGGAAGAGGCUCAAGCCCAAAGAUCAGAAGAACCUCUGUCCUGGAAGUCGGUUCUCUUUCCAAUGGAACAGCCUCUGCAAAGUGUACCACACGAUGAGUUAAUAUAUCUCACUUUUAGAAAGAAAGAUACUGAUAUGCCACUGAUGUGGUUUGGAUGUGCGUCCCUCCACCCCCACCCACAGUCCCAUGCUAGAAGUGUCACUCAUAUUCAGCUUUGAAUCAGUGGGGAACCCAUACAGGAAGAUCAUAAUAAAUAUGGAAAAUUCUGAUAAUAUUCGUGGUAAAGUACUGAACAUUGGCUGCAUAAAUUAUUUACAUACUUGUCACGGUGUAGCCGAGGACUAAAACUUCAACAUUCACCUGCUACCAACCUCCGAACAGUGGCUGUGUUUGUAUCAAGUUACCUGAAUGGCAUGGAAGAUAUAAGGCACAGUUCCAUUCAGCAAGACAAACGGCAAAUAUGCUGUGGCUCUCGGGGGCAGGAUGGCCAUUGAGUGACCCACAUAUUCUGAGGCCAUCACAACCCCGUCCCAGGCAGUCAGAACACACCACGCAGUCCCAGAAAGGACGAAAGAAGUGACAGCCUGCUACGACAGAACAAAAUGUUCUGUGGCCCUGGAAGGAGGAGGCUGAGGAGUCUCCGAUUUUCUU
rnacentral:lncRNA from 1 species